rnacentral:rRNA from 1 species
ACGCGAAGAACCUUACCAGGUCUUGACAUACUCGUGCUAUCCUUAGAGAUAAGGAGUUCCUUCGGGACACGGGAUACAGGUGGUGCAUGGUUGUCGUCAGCUCGUGUCGUGAGAUGUUGGGUUAAGUCCCGCAACGAGCGCAACCCUUAUUACUAGUUGCCAUCAUUAAGUUGGGCACUCUAGUGAGACUGCCGGUGAUAAACCGGAGGAAGGUGGGGAUGACGUCAAAUCAUCAUGCCCCUUAUGACCUGGGCUACACACGUGCUACAAUGGAUGGUACAACGAGUCGCCAACCCGCGAGGGUGCGCUAAUCUCUUAAAACCAUUCUCAGUUCGGAUUGCAGGCUGCAACUCGCCUGCAUGAAGUCGGAAUCGCUAGUAAU